AUGACCACUGCUCAGCAGCAUACAAACAUGGUUCAUGGCCAAAGGAAACAAGUGAAACAUUUAAUUCUGGAUGCCAUCUGUGGCACAAAACAACCAAGGUGCCAGUUUUAUUGCUGUGUGAUUACAGGCAGCUCAGUAGCCAAACUUGCCUUUGGUUCUGGUACAAAACUUACUGUAGAAGCUGAUAUUCAAAAAAAUCCACCAUCAGUCUACAUUCUUCAACCAAAGGAUAGCAGAAGUGACAUUUCACCAGUGUGCCUUGUCACUGAUUUCGCACCAAGACAAAUCGAUGUAUCAAUUAAUGAACACCGUUUAAAUGAAAGCGAUGCUUCAGUUCUUAUUAACGAUAAGAGCUAUGGGGUUGUUGGAUACCUGAAGAGGACAGAAGGAAAAUUUUCAUGUAUUGCUACCAAUGAACUAAAAUCAGUUCCUGGAAAGCCAGACACUACCCCAGGUGAUCAAUGUGUGAACAUGGAUGAUAUCUUUGAAACAGAUGAGAAACUAAAUUUUAUGUCUUUAGCUACUCUGGGAUUACGAAUUAUCUUCCUUAAAAGCAUCAUUUUUAACGUACUUAUGACAGUCCAUGCUAUGUCAUCUUAAGAUUGAAAACCAUGUAAGGACUUGUUCCCAGAAAUGAAAUAAAACUGUCAGAACAUUCCACUCCUCAAAUAA